rnacentral:rRNA from 1 species
GACGAACGCUGGCGGCGUGCUUAACACAUGCAAGUCGAACGGAAAGGCCCCUUCGGGGGUACUCGAGUGGCGAACAGGUGAGUAACACGUGAGUAACCUGCCCUUGACUUCGGGAUAACUUCAGGAAACUGGGGCUAAUACCGGAUAGGAAUCCUUGCUGCAUGGUGGGGGUUGGAAAGCUUCGGCGGUUUUGGAUGGACUCGCGGCUUAUCAGCUUGUUGGUGGGGUAGUGGCUUACCAAGGCUUUGACGGGUAGCCGGCCUGAGAGGGCGACCGGCCACAUUGGGACUGAGAUACGGCCCAGACUCCUACGGGAGGCAGCAGUGGGGAAUAUUGCACAAUGGGCGGAAGCCUGAUGCAGCAACGCCGCGUGCGGGAUGACGGCCUUCGGGUUGUAAACCGCUUUCAGCAGGGGCGAAGCUUGUGGUGACGGUACCUGCAGAAGAAGCACCGGCUAACU